GGAGCCGCCGUGCCUCCCUUCCCUUCUUUGCCCGGCUCUUCCCUUCCCUCCCCUCUCUCCUUCCACGCUAGACGCUGAGUGGCGGCUACUGGCAGCGGGACCGGCGAGGGGCGCGUGAGAUGCGCUUCGGAACCGCGGCAGCCGUGGAGGGCCGCGCGGCGGGACGGCCCUGCGGGUCGGUGGUUGGCUGGGCUGGAGCCGGGCCUUCAGCUCCUCACCUCGCGACUGCAGCCCUUCGGCGUGCUGCUGAUGGAGUGACCCCUACAGAGCGUUUGGGAUGAGGGAUCAGCUCCUCGGGACACGGAGGUCUGCGUGCGGCACUGGGCGUUUCGUCCGAUCACACUUGAAAGGAGUUGUGGUGUUUCAAAAUCAAACUAAGAUGAUGAGAUCAGUGAUGCGAGUGACUUGCUAUAUUUCUUUUCAAACCUGAGAUAUGAGUGUACAGAUCAAUUAGACUUCAUACUUGCGUGCCUCUGACUUUGAUGCCAUACUUUACAGAAGGAAACAGAUGUUCCUAACAGCUACUGAAAACCAAUGGAGCUUUGAAGUGUGCAAGGAUUACUGAGGAAGCAUUUAACACUACUUCAGAACCCUACUGUAAUGCCCAAAGGUACAGUUUUGUGGAUGUAUACAUGAUGCCUCUUCGAUGUCUAUCUUGAUUUUCCUUUCAGUUUGAAGAUGAUGUCACUACACAAGGUCACCACACCAUUGCAAGGACCUUACUUAUGUAUGUCAGUGAUUUAAAGAAAAGAUUACUGUAAUUCACAAUCCUCUCAUUGCUGUUAUAAGUUGCUGGAUAACUUCUGAUGUCACCUUUAAAGGCUUUGGACUUCUUUAAUAAAGAAAUCAAAGAAAAACAUAUAGCAAA